UGCUCAGGCCCUGAGUCCAAGCCUCAGGACUGGCAAAAACAAAACACAGUGCAGCCAGACUUGGGGUAACUCCAUUCCUAUUUUAUACUCACUGGGGAACUUAUUCUUUAAAGGUACUCUAUUAAGCAAAAUUUACCAAAUUUAACCAAACAAUGCUCCUUUAAA